AUGUGGCCAACAGCAUCUUCCUAAGGGCUUGUGUGUGAAAUCUAAUCUCAAGGGCAUCUCUGCCAGCUGCCUUUGUAACACAAAUUGAUUUCUUGUCACAGAUGUACAUGCAUUCUGUAAUGGAACUUGCUGCUGCACCACCAUCAUCUUGAGAAGCCACCACUCCCACAUCUGAAAGCUCCAGCAUGAGCAGUUCAUACAGCAGCAGAGCCCAGCAGUGACAGAGGGGAGAGGAGAAGAGCCUUGAGAAAUGGAGUACUUCUGCUAUCUGAUAACUGUGGAUGGGACCAACAGGUGCAGAACCCUAAGCUACUCUCCAUUCUGCUGCAGGACUUUCUGAAUUACUGCCUGAAGACAGUUGAUGGUCUGCCAAGGAAUUCUGCAGGUUUGAAAGGCUGAGAAACCCGGAACACCUGAUCCUGUGGGAAUCUCCCCUCCCCACUCUGCGGAGCUUCAGCACCGCGGACAGCGGCUGCUGGGGUCCCGGCGGGGUCCCGGAGGGGUCCCGGUGCCCGCCCGCCCCAGGGUGCGCCUAGGCCGGGCCAGGAAUGAAGGAAGACACUUUCAGCACAACGUAGCAAGUGAGGUUGAAAAUGCCUCACACUCUGGGGAUGUUGCUUGGUCAGGAAGGGCCUUCCAUAAGCACCACAAGAAGAAAGUGGAAAUAAAAAGUAUCAGCCUUUCUUACAGAAUAACCUUGUCCCCCCAUUUUUAUCAAUUUUGAUGCAUGGGAAAGUUCUGUUUAAAUAUUCAUUUUUUAAAAAUAGGAUGCUUUAAAUUGAAGGAGUAAAAGUAUUAGAUAUGAACGGCAUUGUAGGAUUAUGGAAUACAGGCACAAAAUUUUAAGAAAUGCAAGAAAACUUGAUGGCCCAACAUGAAGCCAAUUUACGCACAGGCACUGUAUUUGCAUCUUCAGCUGUAUGAUCCUGUGUGUCAGUUUUAUUUCCUCAUAGCAUCACCAGCCGGCUCGAAUACAGGAUCUCCACACAAUCCUUUCAGACAUCUAUAGAACCCUCCUACACAGGCCCUGCUUGAACAGCCUAAAGAAUAACACACUAUUUGUUCCUGAGCUGGACCAUCUCAGAUUUUAAGGGGGCACAUGAAAAAUACUGAGUU